UACGGAAUGUGCAAACGUUAUUCGGAAUCACUGGGCUUAAAGAGUCCGUAGGUGGUUUGUCGCGUUGUUCGUGAAAUCUCACGGCUUAACUGUGAGCGUGCGGGCGAUACGGGCAGACUAGAGUACUGCAGGGGAGACUGGAAUUCCUGGUGUAGCGGUGGAAUGCGCAGAUAUCAGGAGGAACACCGGUGGCGAAGGCGGGUCUCUGGGCAGUAACUGACGCUGAGGAGCGAAAGCGUGGGGAGCGAACAGG
rnacentral:rRNA from 1 species